UACGUAGGGUGCAAGCGUUAAUCGGAAUUACUGGGCGUAAAGCGUGCGCAGGCGGUGAUGCAAGACAGAUGUGAAAUCCCCGGGCUCAACCUGGGAACUGCAUUUGGGACUGCAAGGCUGGAGUACGGCAGAGGGAGGUGGAAUUCCACGUGUAGCAGUGAAAUGCGUAGAGAUGUGGAGGAACACCGAUGGCGAAGGCAGCCUCCUGGGCUAGUACUGACGCUCAUGCACGAAAGCGUGGGGAGCAAACAGG
rnacentral:rRNA from 1 species